GGGAAACCAACAUGCCACCACGCCGCCACUGUCGAAUAGGGACAGCAUAACCGUGUGUGUCGAGAUGGUGCCCACGGAGCACAACCCAGCCAUGCCAGGAACCUUCCCUUGCAUGCAGUGUGCACCAGAAACCUGGAAGGAGCAUAGUAAUUGGAGUAAAAAUUACAUAAUUGGGACAAAUUAACUACCAUUUUUAGCACAAGUGGAUUGGUGGAGCUUCGUGCCAAUAUGUUACGAAUAUGCUGCUCAAACGAGUCAUCAGCCAAGCCGCGCA